UGCAGACACAAAGCAAUUGGGAGCAGCCUGGAGCAACACAUUUGAUCUUCAGUGGCUUUACAAAGGACCAAGUGAUGGCAGAACUGAAGCCAUAUGCCUCAAAAGAGAAAGGUACAGCAAAGCUCUUCAGAAUGCUAUUCAAUAUAGAAGAGAUUAAAGGCCGCUCAUUGUUUGGCAUGAGGAAAGGGAACAGAGAGUCUGACGCCAGACCUUCUUGUGCAGACAAGGCAAAACUUAAGUUCUUGGAAGAUUGUGCGCUCGAAAAGUUGCCGACAACCUAAAGGACUGAACUCAAACCGUCCAGGAAUAGCAAGAUAAACUGAAGAAAAUAAAUGGACUAAUGUUUUUGCUAUUUUUUGAGACAAUAUAUAAUUUCAUAUGGAAACAUUAAAAAGGAUUAUUUUUAAAAUUUGUUUGUUUCCAAUUUAGGGUACAGGGUGACUUUCAAGCAGUUUCCAGCUAUUGCCACCCACAAGGUGGAAAAUUUCUGAAAGGGUGAAAAUAGGUGGCAUUUAGUGGAAACUGAAUUUGCCACUAUCUGGUGGCAAAAUGGUGGAAAAGUGUCUAAAUACUCCACCAAUUUUCCACCCUUAUGGUGGCAAAAGGUGGAAAUAAGUGGCAUUUGGUGGAAAAUAAGUUUGCCACUCAAUGGUGGCAUAAUGGUGGAAAUUUGUCUAAAUACUCCACCAAUUUUUCACCAUUAUGGUGGCAAUAAGUGGAAACAAGUGGCAUCUAGUGGAAAAUGAGUUUGCCACCCUAAGGUGGCAUAUUGGUGGCAUUAUGGUGAAAGUUUGUCUAAAUACUCCACCAAUUUUCCACUCAUUGGUGGCAUUUAGUGUAAAAAAGGUGGAAUUAACUGGAAAAUUAUAUAACAUCAGUCCUGCUCAAAUUUUUCACCAUUUUCAUGAUUUGGGUGGCGUUUUGGUGGCAUUAUUGGUGGAAAAUUGUCUAAAUACUCCACCAUUGAAAAGGGUGGCAUUUUAGUGGCAAAUCUAGGGACGGGU